UACGUAGGGUGCAAGCGUUGUCCGGAAUUAUUGGGCGUAAAGAGCUCGUAGGCGGUUUGUCGCGUCUGCUGUGAAAACCCGAGGCUCAACCUCGGGCCUGCAGUGGGUACGGGCAGACUAGAGUGCGGUAGGGGAGAUUGGAAUUCCUGGUGUAGCGGUGGAAUGCGCAGAUAUCAGGAGGAACACCAAUGGCGAAGGCAGAUCUCUGGGCCGUAACUGACGCUGAGGAGCGAAAGCAUGGGGAGUGAACAGG
rnacentral:rRNA from 1 species